rnacentral:rRNA from 1 species
GAUGAACGCUGGCGGCGUGCCUAAUACAUGCAAGUCGAGCGAACAGAUGAGGAGCUUGCUCCUCUGACGUUAGCGGCGGACGGGUGAGUAACACGUGGAUAACCUACCUAUAAGACUGGGAUAACUUCGGGAAACCGGAGCUAAUACCGGAUAAUAUAUUUAACCGCAUGGUUCAAUAGUGAAAGACGGUUUUGCUGUCACUUAUAGAUGGAUCCGCGCCGCAUUAGCUAGUUGUUAAGGUAACGGCUUACCAAGUCAACGAUGCGUAGCCUACCUGAGAGGGUGAUCGGCCACACUGGAAAUGAGAAAAGGACAAGACGACUACGGGAGGCAGCAGUAGGGAAUCUUCCGCAAUGGGCGAAAGCCUGACGGAGCAACGCAGCGUGAGUGAUGAAGGUCUUCGGAUCGUAAAACUCUGUUAUUAGGGAAGAACAAAUGUGUAAGUAAAUAUGCACGUCUUGACGGUACCUAAUCAGAAAGCCACGGCUAACUACGUG